rnacentral:rRNA from 1 species
UAACAAAAACAUGGUUUUUUGAUUAUAAUUUAAAAUUGGUUCUGCUCACUGAAUAUUUAAAUUUAAAGAGCUGCAGUAUAUUAACUGUGCAAAGGUAGCAAAAUCAUUUGUUUUUUAAUUGUGAACUUGAAUGAAAGAGCUGAUGAGAUAUAAACUGUCUCUUGAUAAAUUAAUAGAAAUUGAAUUUUGAGUUAAAAUUCUUAAAUAUUUUUAUUAGACGAGAAGACCCUAUAGAAUUUUAUAAAUUUUAUUUAAUGGUUUAUAAAGAUUAAUUUUUACUGUUAUAUUUAUGUUUAUUUAAUUGGGAGGAUUAUUAAAUUUGUUGAACUUUAAAAUUUAAAAUUAACAAUAAUUUUUGAUGGGUUGAUUAAAAAAUAAUUAAAAGAUUAAAUUACCUUAGGGAUAACAGCGUAAUAGUUUUGGAGAGAUCAUAUUAAUAGAAUUGUUUGCGACCUCGAUGUUGAAUUAAGGUAAAAAUUAAAUGUAGAAGUUUAAUAUUUAAGUCUGUUCGACUUUUAAAAUCUUACGUGAUCUGAGUUC